GGCUGUGUGGCAUAGUGGUUUGAGUGCUGGACUACAACAUUGGAGACCAGGGUUCAAUUCCACACUCAGCCA